GCCGGAGUGGCGGAAUUGGCAGACGCGCUGGACUCAAAAUCCAGUGUCCUCGCGGACGUGUGGGUUCGAACCCCACCUCCGGUA
rnacentral:tRNA from 1 species